GUUGAAUGUCACCGUCACCGUUGCUGUUGCUGCUGCCAUCCACUGCGACCUGCUACAGCAGCCAGACUGCUUCUGUUGUCAAGCCACUCGGCUACAUAUACGAGAAAUCCUGACCGAGCGUUUCCAGCUCACCGUAUCCAUCAAAAUGUGUCCAGGCUGUUAACAGCCUCUCUCAGCGACGCAGCAUUUCUUCUUCUCUCUCUGAAUAUACGACUUGGUCGGCGUUCAGCUCGUUCUGGCAGCUGCAGCGUGGACUUUGGCUGCAGAUGUGCGAAGCCUUUCUCUGGGUGUUGUGCUGCUGCAGCCUCGGGGCGCUGCUCUCUGGUAACGAGCGCUGUGACUUCACAACUCAUCAAAGUUGAUGCUGACGGUGGGGUGAAAGUUAAUUGUCCCUGUAAUGGAGCCUCAGCCGGCCAAUGCUGCCAAACACCCCACCACCACCACGACCUCUGCCCCUCCACCCUCCUCCUCUCUGAUACUGGACUGUUCUGGUCCUCCUCGAUGGAAACCAGACUUCCUGCUAAGGACUGCAGGCCUGAUAAAGACCACAGCCGACCUUCAGACUUUACAGAGCACUUAUCACACUCUCAGCAUCAAGGCUUGUUCAGGACUGAGGCUGCUGAGGAACCAGGUCCAGGCCUGUUGAGGGUCUGUACCGUGUGAACACUGGUUCUACAGCUGUUUCCAUGAAACAUCGUCAAACUUGGCACCAAACAAAACCUUCUCCUGUUCAGAAGACGGUUCUUAAAUCCAUCAAGACUCUUCUAAUCUGGAUCAGCGCCUACAUGGAAACUUCUCUUGGCGGUUCUGACAGGUCUGGUGUUGUGUUCACUGUCGGCUGUUUUCCCAGUUGGAAAAACAACUCGGCCAUUUAGAGCUUUUGCGGAUGCAGCUGCAGGUUGUUGUGUUACAGAAAUAAAAACUCUUUAAUUCAACAUGACAAAGUGAACGGCUCCUAACAACUUCCAGCAGCUUCUGUGUCGGCUGAAGAUGACAGGGAUGGGACACAUGUGUCAGCUGAUAAUGAUCAGUUUUAAUGACUUAUUAUACUAUGACUUUUUUAUGGAGUGGCACGGAGGUGAGGUGGUUGAAAUUGUCGCCUCAAAGUGAAAAGGUCCUUUCUAUGUUUAUGUUCUCCCUCUGCCUGUGUGGGUUCUCUCCAGGUGAUCUUGCUUCCUCCAGCAGUCCAAAGACAUGCCCAUUAGAUUAAAUGGCAACUCUAAUACCUUACUAUACUACAUCGUUUUUAUGCCUUACAAUACUAUGUUUUUUUUAAAUAUUUUUAUGCCUUACUAUACUAUGACGUUUUCUGAUGUUUUUAUGCCUUACUAUACUACUGUAUGAUGUUUUCUGAUGUUUUAUGUCUCAGUGUACUAUGAUGUAUUUUGACGUUUUCAUACUUUACUAUGCAAUUAAAUUUUUAUGCCAUACUA